UACGGAGGGUGCGAGCGUUGUCCGGAAUCAUUGGGCGUAAAGGGCGCGUAGGUGGCCCGGUCAGUCUUUGGUGCAAGCGCGGGGCUCAACCCUGCGUCGGCCAGGGAUACUGCCGCGGCUCGAGCACUGUAGAGGCAGGCGGAAUUCCGGGUGUAGCGGUGGAAUGCGUAGAGAUCCGGAAGAACACCGGUGGCGAAGGCGGCCUGCUGGGCAGUUUUGCUGACACUGAGGCGCGACAGCGUGGGGAGCAAACAGG
rnacentral:rRNA from 1 species